rnacentral:lncRNA from 1 species
AAGGCACAGUGUGGGCAAGGGAGCUGAGGACUGGCUACCAGUCCCAUCUCUAUGGGGAUGGGGAGUCUAGUAAACAGUCUUGGAGGAUGUAGGUUGGGAGGAACGGGGAGGGUGGCAAUGGAGGGCUGAACUGCUGCAGCUCUGCUUUGUCAGUCAGGCCGGGGCUGGCUCGCCACCUCUCAGGUUGGAGCUCACUGUGUUCACAAGUAUUCGGAUGGCUUUACAAAACACGGAGGCACGAGGCGCUAGGACCGCAGGGCAGAGAAACUGCUGGUUUAAGAGGGCAGCAAGAGGAAGACAGUCGAAAGUGUGCAUGCACGCAUCGUACACCAUCUCUGAAUACUUGAUCCGACCUACCCAAAGAGGACAAAGUCAGGGGAUGAACAGUGCCAUACUGAAGAGACUAACCAGGUGAAGCCAGCUCGGAAGCCACUGGUUACAGGGAAUCCAGGGCUCUUAUCCUCUGAGACAUCUCUCGAGUUCCUGCAUUUUAUAUUUUGAUGUGGUUGUCAAGUUGGAACUAUGGUACAAGGAAAUACUCCUAAGUGGGCAGAUUGUAGGUGUGCCACAAUUCUCUAAGAAGAAAAAGACAUGAAGUAACAGCUUUCAAGUCCGUGGGACUCUGACUACGAUGAGCCUCUCACUGUUACACUUCACCGGACGGAAAGGGAAGAGUCUUCUGGAUGAACCUGGCCUGAUCACACCAACCAUUAAAGAGCACAGGGUUCCUCCAGCUCUGACUGCAGAAGUCAG